rnacentral:rRNA from 1 species
GAUGAACGCUGGCGGCGUGCCUAAUACAUGCAAGUCGAGCGAACGGACGAGAAGCUUGCUUCUCUGAUGUUAGCGGCGGACGGGUGAGUAACACGUGGAUAACCUACCUAUAAGACUGGGAUAACUUCGGGAAACCGGAGCUAAUACCGGAUAAUAUUUUGAACCGCAUGGUUCAAAAGUGAAAGACGGUCUUGCUGUCACUUAUAGAUGGAUCCGCGCUGCAUUAGCUAGUUGGUAAGGUAACGGCUUACCAAGGCAACGAUGCAUAGCCGACCUGAGAGGGUGAUCGGCCACACUGGAACUGAGACACGGUCCAGACUCCUACGGGAGGCAGCAGUAGGGAAUCUUCCGCAAUGGGCGAAAGCCUGACGGAGCAACGCCGCGUGAGUGACGAAGGUCUUCGGAUCGUAAAACUCUGUUAUUAGGGAAGAACAUAUGUGUAAGUAACUGUGCACAUCUUGACGGUACCUAAUCAGAAAGCCACGGCUAACUACGUGCCAGCAGCCGCGGUAAUACGUAGGUGGCAAGCGUUAUCCGGAAUUAUUGGGCGUAAAGCGCGCGUANGCGGUUUUUUAGUCUGAUGUGAAAGCCCACGGCUCAACCGUGGAGGGUCAUUGGAAACUGGAAAACUUGAGUGCAGAAGAGGAAAGUGGAAUUCCAUGUGUAGCGGUGAAAUGCGCAGAGAUAUGGAGGAACACCAGUGGCGAAGGCGACUUUCUGGUCUGUAACUGACGCUGAUGUGCGAAAGCGUGGGGAUCAAACAGGAUUAGAUACCCUGGUAGUCCACGCCGUAAACGAUGAGUGCUAAGUGUUAGGGGGUUUCCGCCCCUUAGUGCUGCAGCUAACGCAUUAAGCACUCCGCCUGGGGAGUACGACCGCAAGGUUGAAACUCAAAGGAAUUGACGGGGACCCGCACAAGCGGUGGAGCAUGUGGUUUAAUUCGAAGCAACGCGAAGAACCUUACCAAAUCUUGACAUCCUUUGACAACUCUAGAGAUAGAGCCUUCCCCUUCGGGGGACAGAGUGACAGGUGGUGCAUGGUUGUCGUCAGCUCGUGUCGUGAGAUGUUGGGUUAAGUCCCGCAACGAGCGCAACCCUUAAGCUUAGUUGCCAUCAUUAAGUUGGGCACUCUAAGUUGACUGCCGGUGACAAACCGGAGGAAGGUGGGGAUGACGUCAAAUCAUCAUGCCCCUUAUGAUUUGGGCUACACACGUGCUACAAUGGACAAUACAAAGGGCAGCGAAACCGCGAGGUCAAGCAAAUCCCAUAAAGUUGUUCUCAGUUCGGAUUGUAGUCUGCAACUCGACUACAUGAAGCUGGAAUCGCUAGUAAUCGUAGAUCAGCAUGCUACGGUGAAUACGUUCCCGGGUCU